rnacentral:tRNA from 2 species
GGAGAGAUGUCCGAGAGGCUGAAGGAGCACGAUUGGAAAUCGUGUGUACGUGCUAAAACGCGUACCGAGGGUUCAAAUCCCUCUCUCUCCGCCA